AAGGAUAUGGUGAAAUGGUAGACACGCAAGAUUUAGGUCCUUGUGGCAAGAAUAUUGCUGUAAGGGUUCAAGUCCCUUUAUCCGAA
rnacentral:tRNA from 1 species